rnacentral:rRNA from 1 species
UACGUAGGGUGCGAGCGUUAAUCGGAAUUACUGGGCGUAAAGCGUGCGCAGGCGGUGAUGUAAGACAGGUGUGAAAUCCCCGGGCUUAACCUGGGAACUGCAUUUGUGACUGCAUCGCUGGAGUGCGGCAGAGGGGGAUGGAAUUCCGCGUGUAGCAGUGAAAUGCGUAGAUAUGCGGAGGAACACUGAUGGCGAAGGCAAUCCCCUGGGCCUGCACUGACGCUCAUGCACGAAAGCGUGGGGAGCAAACAGG